rnacentral:pre_miRNA from 1 species
CACAUACUCCCUCCAUCUCAAAAUUCUUGUCUUAGGUUUGUUUAGAAAUGGACGUAUCUAAAUAUUAAAAUGUGACUAGAUACAUUCAUAUCUAGACAAAUCUAAGACAAUAAUUUUGGGACGGAGGGGGUAUUAC